rnacentral:rRNA from 1 species
AGAGAGAGGGAGCUUGCUUCCUCGAUCGAGUGGCGAACGGGUGAGUAACGCGUGAGGAACCUGCCUCAAAAGGGGGACAACAGUCGGAAACGACUGCUAAUACCGCAUAAGCCCACGGCUCGGCAUCGGGUUGAGGGAAAAGGAGUGAUCCGCUUUGAGAUGGCCUCGCGUCCGAUUAGCUAGUUGGUGAGGUAACGGCCCACCAAGGCGACGAUCAGUAGCCGGACUGAGAGGUUGAACGGCCACAUUGGGACUGAGAUACGGCCCAGACUCC